rnacentral:piRNA from 1 species
UCACUUCUUCAGUGCCCCACUGCUCAAAUC